rnacentral:lncRNA from 1 species
CCAACUUAUAUAGUUAUCUUUAUUUUCAAAUUUUCUUAGGAUUUUCAAAUUUUCUUAGGCAUAUGGUAGAGUUUAGUUUCUACAACGCCUAGAACCAUCAGUAUUCUGUUCUCUAGCUAUAUUAAACAAGCUUAGUUUAAGCAGUAAUAAUCACAUAGUUCAAAAGAUAGUCCACGUUUCAUACUUUCAUCAUGUUCUUUUAGGUAUGUGACCCAACAUAGUUGCGUAGAAGUUCAUAUAAAGCAAUUAUUUGCUAUUGAAAUUACAGUUGUAUUAAACAAAGGAAAAUAGAAAUGAUCUUAUAUAUGGUGUAACCAGUAUGUUUAAGUUCAUGAAGAUCCUGAGGUUGAAAUUGAGAAGAAUGAUAUUGUGUAUUGCAGGAGAAUAAGCAUGGCAGGUCUCAGUACGAAGACGGUGCCUCACCUCGUUGACGCUAUCCAUGCUGCAGUUACCCGCGUCGUCUAAGCUAGUAGCGAUUGUUGUUUCGUCUAAUAAAAUGAAAAACGAUAAAAACAGAGCCUUCUUGGUUUUAUGCUUUGUAUUUUUCCGAUGGUUAUUCAUAUGUUUCCUUUUGACUGAGGAUGGUUGAACCAAUCAAACAGAGGAUUCUGAUUUGAAUUUUGCAAUGUUGAAUGAAAAUGUUGGUUAUUAUAAUUUGCAUUGUUAUCUAAUAUGUUGAUGUUCACUGAUUCUAUUGUCGGCUUCAUCAAGAGAUGAUUUAGAUUCAUUGCAUUUAAGGACAUUUACUUGGUGCCAAAUGGUGUAGAAACCGCAAUGAACAAAUCAACUCGUUGCGUACGGAUAACACUAUAUAUGUAACCUGUAACAUGUAGUUAUUGUUGUAAAUUUGAAAUGAUCACUACUUUUCAAAAUGAUAAAUUACACGACGUGAGUAAACGAUUAAAAACCAUAUCAUUCAGACAUUAAAAAUCAAUCCUUUUAAUUAGGAGGAUAUACGGAGAUGUUUUAGACUUGGUGAAGAGAGUCGGCCUCUUAGUCUUUACUUGCCCCCAACUAACUACGUUCGUCCCUCUUCUUAUCAUUUAAAAGAGAUUGACUAAAAAGUGUUGUCUAAGUCAACUGCUAUUUGAAAAUGAUGUUUAAUGCUUCAGUUUUUUACAGUUAUAAAAAACGUAAAAUAUUUACUGUUUAGAAUACAAUGCCAUGUAAAAAUAAAUAUGAUUUUACUGUUUUUAGAACUUGCUAUAGGUCUUAUCAGUACCAAUGAUUAAUCCGAAACCAAAUACAAUUAUACAUUUAAAACAUGCAAAUUUAUGAACAUGGACAUAUAAAGGACAAGAAAUACUUGAGCUCCACGAAGAAACAUGCAGCAUAAGUGAAACAGCACGGCUAGACCAACGGGAAGCUUAAAGAGCUCAAGAACACUGUAAAUGAGCUUACAUAAUCUAUUACAAAUUCGAAUUACAAAGGCAAAAACCAUAAUGGAACCAAAGAGGAGGGUAAUCAAGAGACUAUUGAAGAUUUCCAGAACCAAGAAGAUUAACAAGAACGCUUACGAGAUGACUUGUAGGACAAUCAGCAUGAUCAACUAUAUGUAAUGAACUUACAGCAUGAAGCGCUGGAUGAUUGGGUCACUAACCCCCAUAGGGGAGCUCUAGCAAACCCUCCAACCAGGAUUUAAAAUACUCAAGUAGAUUCAAAGCUUUCUAAGACAAUGUAUCAACCUCCAGUUAUAUAUAUAUAUAUGUAUAUAUAUUAAUAUAUACCACUUUUAUCUCUACUGUAUUUCUUCUCCGCUCCUACAUGUUUGUCAUCCCACCAAGAUUGUUUGAAGCAAGUAUGGAUAAGAGUUUCUUAUUAUUUGACUUUCUUUAUUUUAUUGUUCUGGUUUUAUGUCUUGGCAUUUUUUUCGUAGAAACGUGUACAAUAAAUUCGAAUAAAUAAAAAAGAAGGUCAACUAAGAGCUCAAGAUGAGUUGAGUAACAAAGAAUGAUUGAACAAUGCGGUAUGAUUUGUUUUGUAAGUGUAUAAAGGAUAUUAAUGUUCAACUUCUUGUAUCUUGAACAUAAUACAGUACCCUUUAUUAUCCUCUUAAUAUAUUUUUCACUCCAAACCCAUGAACAUGUUUAAUACACUCUUUAUUACGAUCACGCUUAAUUAGGAAGUAAUUGAUUUAAAAAGGUAGGUGGAUUUUAUUUUGAAAGUUUUGUGUUUGUUUUAUGGCAUAGAGUAGGAAACCAUUUGUGAUUUGCUUGAUAAAAUGGUUUCCUAUUCUAUGUCAUCACAAAUGGUUUCCUACUCUUUGUCUUCCUAAGAAAAAGCCAAUGAAGAAAAACAGAAUCGUAAAUACUCAAUCCUCUUUUCAUUUGUGAAAGAAAGUAGUUAUUAUCUAGCGCUUAAAAUCCUUUAUAUAACAGAGUCCUAUAUACUUAUUAUUACCUCAAUUGUUGUUGACAAUACUUGAUUUUCUAUUUGAAUAAUUUAGCUGAGGAAACUCAGUUGACAUCAUUAGUGUGAAUCAUGCAAAGAAAAAAGUAUCAAGUUGAGAAGAGAAACAUGUAUCAAUCUUCUGUUGCUACAUUCAUAAGCGAUGAAGUAGACGAACCUAUGAAUAGAAGAGAGAAAAAGAGCAAAUAAAAGAAGCAAUUAGUUGACUGAAAUUAUAUAGAAAAUAAAACAGUUAUAUAUAGAUGGGAAUCCACUCCGGCGUCUGUUACUCUAGCGUCCGAUGUAGGUGGGAAUCCACUCCGGCGUCCAGCCCUGAGCCAUCAAAAACUACUAAGAUCAUGUUGUCGGCGCACAACUCUCACCUCUUCCUCUGUUGUGGAGAGUACUUCACUACCAUGUCUCCUUUCUAUGAAUGGAGAAAAUACCUCGGAUUCUUUUCCGAGCUUUAAUUUCAGUUUACUCACCGGUUUGUUACCUUGUGGAGCGGUCUGUACGGGGCCUGAAGGUGCAAUCGAGACUACUUCGGUUUUUCUCGUUGGUGAGGACUGUCUCUCAACGUCACUUGUGACUAUUUCUCUGCUGUCCGACUUUGUCAUGCAAGCUUUAUCGACGCAUUCAAUCUUGGUAUUGAAUUCGCUGUCAACUGAAGAUUUAUCAUGCUUGAUUCUAUUUGCUAUUGUAGUUCACGAAUUGUCUCCAAGAGGAUGUUUAAUUCCCUUUUGGCUUUGUAGUCUUUGAAUUUGAGUUUUAAUGAAAGUUUGUGUUUCAAAAAAAAAAAAUAUAUAGAUGGCAUGACUUCCCUUUGAACGAACGUGGUGAUAGUGAUCGGAGAGAAUGUAGGGAUUUUUUUUUAUCAGUUUAAGAAAAUUAAGGCUCGUAAGAUCUUUUGCUUAAAGUUUUUAUUUUUCCUAUUACUAGAGGGUUUGUCCGGGCUACGCCCAGAUUUUUUCCUAUAAUAUUAUUAAGUUGAAUUAAACUUGCAAUGCUAAUUUCUAGUUAUAUGUAUAUAUCAGAAGUUUCCAUUUUUAAAGAAGGGUUAUGGUUGAUGUUAUUGGAUUCAACUGUUGUUAUAUUAUUUUUGUUAAUGAUGCUAUGCGCGGUUUGUAUAUCUGACUUUUCAGUUUUUAUCUUAUUACACUAUAUAUUAUCUUGUUGUUAUUUUAUUCUCAUGUCACCUAUUUUGAUCUUAUAUAUGGUAUGAUGUGAUUUUUGUAUUUUUUCCAUUUCCGUUUGAAUCUUGGAGUAGUAUAUAUUUUUACGAACUAGUUUAAAUAUUUUGAAUGGUAUUUUGACCACCAGUACUAAUUCACUACAUUGUUUGAUUAGUUUUGAAAUUACUCGUCGAAACAGAUUUGGAGAGAAGAGAAAUGGAAAAGGUGGAAGUCGAAAGGUGGGUGAAGAACAAAUUAGGGUUACGACAGUAAUAUACAUCUAUUGAGUAUGGUUUUAGUAUUAUUACUGUGAAUCGUUGACCUCUUUGGUUGUUCAUCAUAGAUAUAUUAGCAACACAACAUGCUUGUUAACAGGUACCUACGUUAAUGCAAUGUUGACAUCAGAGCUGAACAUUCAUAAAGCUACGGACAAUCAAAGACACGUCAACGUUACUUUAAUUAUUUAAUUCUUUAAGAGAAAUUUUCAGAAAAUCCAAAGAACCAAAGUUCAAAGUAGGGAAAAUAUAUGGAUAUAAUAAAUUAAAAUGAGACAAAAGCUAAGUGGAGUUGACGGUUUGAUAGCCUUGAUACUAUCACUCACGUGGGCGUUUGCGGGUUUUGUCGUUGCCUGCAGUCUGCAGAACCUGGCUGAUUUGCUCCAUCAUUUCCUAGUGCUAUCUUCGCCGCAUCACCAGCGGAGCUGGUCCAAGGUUUUUUUUUUAAUUAUUUAUUUCAAUGGGUUUUGUUCUUCACCUUCCUGUUUGCUACACCGACCUUAAUUUAGUCUGCGUUCUUUCAUGGUUAUUGCUUGAUGUCUUGAUGUGUCCAUCCACUUUUCUUUUCCAAAAAUGAUAAUUUCUCGAAGUGUACUGACCAUACUCUUGCAGUCUAACGUUUAGAAUAAGGAAAUAGAUCUUAAGAUUGCAUUCUGUCAACAAAUUUUAUUAAAAGGUAUAUCAUAUAGACUUGACCCUUGAUGCAAAAAUAAACAGGGUUGCUCGAGGAUCUUGGCGCUGCACCAUCUGGAGCUAUUGUCUUACUUCAUGCAUGUGCACACAAUCCCACUGGAGUUGACCCAACCCCCGAACAGUGGGAACAGAUUCGACAACUAAUUAGAUCCAAGAGCUUAUUGCCCUUUUUUGAUAGUGCAUAUCAGGUAACUCAUUCAAUAAGUCUUUGCUUCGUUGCUUUAUUCAACGGUUGGUUACAAACAAAUUAAACCAAGUAUACUUUAUGUUUAAAUUUGAUCUGAUCUAUUAUGUAUAAAACGAGAAGUCUGACUCUUAAUUUUCCUAUCACAUUUGCAGGGUUUUGCUAGUGGUAGCCUUGACACAGACGCACACUCUGUCCGUACGUUUGUUGCUGAUGGCGGUGAAUGCUUGAUAGCUCAAAGUUAUGCCAAAAAUAUGGGACUUUAUGGGGAGCGUGUUGGUGCCCUUAGCAUUGUAAGGAACCAAACGUCUCAGUUUCAUCUUUGAUUCUAUCCUUGUAUCCAUCUGCAUUAUUGUUAGAAGCACUUUCUAUGGGCUUGCUGUUUAUCCUCACAUAGUGGUUUUUGUAUAUUACACGAAUACAGUCUUUCGAAAACCGCAUCUAAUAUUUUUUUUUACCUAAUGUAAAGGUGUGCAAGUCGGCUGAUGUGGCUAGUAAGGUUGAGAGCCAGGUGAAACUUGUUGUGCGUCCCAUGUAUUCGAGCCCACCUAUUCAUGGAGCAUCAAUUGUUGCCACCAUUCUGAAAAGCAGGUAUAUGUUUAUCCUGUAAGGGGAGCAUCAAUUUACCCACUUUCAAAUAUUUUUGGUUGGGCAAGGGACCUUUAAAUCUGAGUUAAUGAAGUAGAAGUACACUUACGUUUAGAUGAUUAUGUGCAGAAAUAUUUACUAGAAUGGAAGCUUGCGUGAUAAUUUUUUUAGAGAUAUCUCUACCGUUUCUACCAUACGCAGUAGUUUGAUAGUCUAUUAUAUGUAGAUAUGGUUGUGCCAAGUAUCAUUCUCUGUGGAAUCAUGCAUAAUCACUAAAAUUUCAUUUGUGUUAUCAAGCUUGUAAUGAAUCUCUUUUUGGAUUUAGAAUCUGCUCCACGUUUCUAAACAUUCUUUGUUUACAUCUUGACAGCGAUAUGUACAACGACUGGACCAUCGAGCUGAAAGGAAUGGCUGACCGCAUAAUUAGCAUGCGCCAACAGUUAUUUGAAGCUCUACAAGCCAAAGGUUCAUUUUUAAUGCUUGUCUUCUCUCUUUUAUUCCAUCUUUAGUGGUGCCUAUUUUAUAAGCUCUUGCGCAUGAGACGUUGUCUGGCUUGCAGGAACACCUGGUGAUUGGAGUCACAUUAUCAAACAGAUUGGCAUGUUUACUUUUACCGGAUUGAACAAGGAGCAAGUUGCCUUCAUGACCAAAGAGUAUCACAUUUACAUGACAUCUGACGGGUGAGGCCAACUUAUAUAGUUAUCUUUAUUUUCAAAUUUUCUUAGGAUUUUCAAAUUUUCUUAGGCAUAUGGUAGAGUUUAGUUUCUACAACGCCUAGAACCAUCAGUAUUCUGUUCUCUAGCUAUAUUAAACAAGCUUAGUUUAAGCAGUAAUAAUCACAUAGUUCAAAAGAUAGUCCACGUUUCAUACUUUCAUCAUGUUCUUUUAGGUAUGUGACCCAACAUAGUUGCGUAGAAGUUCAUAUAAAGCAAUUAUUUGCUAUUGAAAUUACAGUUGUAUUAAACAAAGGAAAAUAGAAAUGAUCUUAUAUAUGGUGUAACCAGUAUGUUUAAGUUCAUGAAGAUCCUGAGGUUGAAAUUGAGAAGAAUGAUAUUGUGUAUUGCAGGAGAAUAAGCAUGGCAGGUCUCAGUACGAAGACGGUGCCUCACCUCGUUGACGCUAUCCAUGCUGCAGUUACCCGCGUCGUCUAAGCUAGUAGCGAUUGUUGUUUCGUCUAAUAAAAUGAAAAACGAUAAAAACAGAGCCUUCUUGGUUUUAUGCUUUGUAUUUUUCC